rfam:Staphylococcus sp. HGB0015 genomic scaffold aczIz-supercont1.2, whole genome shotgun sequence.
GGGAUGGUACACAGCAUAUUCAAAAAGGGGUAGCUAUCGUGAUUGAUAGUAAAGUUUGAAAAUGAUAGGUUGUACUUAUUCUAGUUUAACAUCUUCAAUAUUUAUUACUUACUUUCCUUUCUAUGCCGGUUGGUUAAAUCCAACCGGUUUUCUU